UACGUAGGGUCCGAGCGUUGUCCGGAAUUAUUGGGCGUAAAGGGCUCGUAGGCGGUUUGUCGCGUCGGGAGUGAAAACUCAGGGCUCAACCCUGAGCCUGCUUUCGAUACGGGCAGACUAGAGGUAUGCAGGGGAGAACGGAAUUCCUGGUGUAGCGGUGAAAUGCGCAGAUAUCAGGAGGAACACCGGUGGCGAAGGCAGAUCUCUGGGCAGUAACUGACGCUGAGGAGCGAAAGCGUGGGGAGCGAACAGG
rnacentral:rRNA from 1 species